GACGAACGCUGGCGGCGUGCUUAACACAUGCAAGUCGAACGAUGAAGCCGGAGCUUGCUCUGGUGAAUUAGUGGCGAACGGGUGAGUAACACGUGGGCAACCUGCCCCAGACCUUGGGAUAACUCCUCGAAAGAGGUGCUAAUACCGAAUACGAACCUCAUGGGCAUCCAUGGGGUUGGAAAGUUUUUCGGUCUGGGAGGGGCCCGCGGCCUAUCAGCUUGUUGGUGGGGUAAUGGCCCACCAAGGCGACGACGGGUAGCCGGCCUGAGAGGGCGACCGGCCACACUGGGACUGAGACACGGCCCAGACUCCUACGGGAGGCAGCAGUGGGGAAUAUUGCGCAAUGGGCGAAAGCCUGACGCAGCGACGCCGCGUGAGGGAUGACGGCCUUCGGGUUGUAAACCUCUUUCAGCAGGGAAGAAGCGAAAGUGACGGUACCUGCAGAAGAAGCACCGGCUAACUACGUGCCAGCAGCCGCCGUAA
rnacentral:rRNA from 1 species